rnacentral:ncRNA from 1 species
AUCAAUGGAGGCCAAAUUUUUCAAGUCUAUCUCAUUUUAUCACAUAAAACGUUAACUAAACAACGAGGCAGAUAUCCUGGCCAAAAAAACCACUUAGGAUGAAGCUUGGGUGAAACUAAGUGGAGGCCCAAACCUACAUAUAUUGAAAAAUCAAUGAAUGAGUCAUGGUUAGGGGUGAAAUUCCACUCAAACCGAUAGCUAAUUGGUUCUCCCCAAAAUGGGUUGAGGCGCGACAGUUGACUAUACCGUCUAAAGGUAAAGCACUGCUUCAGUACGGGCCACGAGAAUCAUACCAAAUCAAGGAAAACUCUAAAUACUAGAUUGCCCUAGUAAAAGAGGUAAAGGUCAAUCAAUGAGGUUAUGAGGGAUAAGCUUCAUCGUCAAGAGGGGAACAUCUCAGAUCACCAGCGAAGGCCCCUAAAUGAUCAUUGAGCGAUGAAGUAAGUAUGAGUGCAAAGGAAGAUAGGAGGUUUUCCUAGAAGCAGCCAACCUUGAGGGAGUGUGUAAUGGAUCAUUGAUAGAGCACUCUUGCAUGGAAGAUGAGUGCUCCACCUUAGAGGGAAGCACCAGUGUUAGGAGGUGUGGCCGAAGAAAUGCGAGAAUGUCAACUUGAGUAACGCAAAUCCAAUGCCCUUAAAUUCGAGAGAAGGUGUGCCUCAUCAAGAUGUCGCAGCAACCAAGCCCAAGCAACUACUUACCAAAAACAUGGGUCUCCACAAAGUUGUAAGACCAUGUAUGGGGGUUGACACCUGUCAAGUUCCAUAAGUUGUAAUCUCCCUGAUCCGGAACCCUUUGUAAUUG